rnacentral:rRNA from 1 species
UGGGGAAUAUUGGAAAAUGGGCGAAAGCCUGAUCCAGCCAUGCCGCGUGUGUGAAGAAGGUCUUCGGAUUGUAAAGCACUUUAAGUUGGGAGGAAGGGCAGUAAGCGAAUACCUUGCUGUUUUGACGUUACCGACAGAAUAAGCACCGGCUAACUCUGUGCCAGCAGCCGCGGUAAUACAGAGGGUGCAAGCGUUAAUCGGAAUUACUGGGAGUAAAGCGCGCGUAGGUGGUUCGUUAAGUUGAAUGUGAAAGCCCCGGGCUCAACCUGGGAGCUGCGUCCAAAAAUGGCGAGCUAGAGUAGGGCGGAGGGUGGUGGAAUUUCCUGUGUAGCGGUGAAAUGCGUAGAUAUAGGAAGGAACACCAGUGGCGAAGGCGACCACCUGGGCUCAUACUGACACUGAGGUGCGAAAGCGUGGGGGGCGAACAGG